GAUUAACCCUAUAUUUCCUGCAGGAAAUGGCUCAAAAACUCCGGUAGGAAUUUGUUGUGGUCCCAUUUUAGGCACUAAGUCAGUUUACCAUUGCUGGUCAUAAAAGGAUUGUCUGGGUGGUUCGUGCCAGUAAAAAUGCGGCUGGGAUAACGUCAGGCCCUGCAACCUCUCUUUUGUUUCCCCUGUUUUUUCAGCCCCAGGAGGGGCCAAUGGGAAGUUUUUUGACUCCCUAUUAGGAAGAAGUGAAGGCCAAAAUGGAGGUGGACUGACGCCAUAUUGGUUGAUUUUCUCCCCCGCCAUGUGGUCUCUCGCAAUGGCGCUGAUGAAACAGGAAGAGCCCUGGCCUUAUGGCACUGAAUUUCACAGGCUCACAUAAAAUGACCAUUUCUCCCACAAUUAAAAUAUUGUCUGCGGGACUGGUGUACUGUCUACUGAGGUUGAAAUGCUUGUUUCAAGGUGGCUGCAAGGGUAAAGCUUUGUAAUUGAGCUGGGCCAAUAUCUGAGCACAAGCGAAUGAAUUCUGAAACUGUUCCUUUCUUCCUAUGGGGUCUGAGAACAUCUGACAAAGUUUAUUUGCAUUUUCAAAUGCUAACUGCUUGAUGAUAAAUUCACAAGCACCUGGGUCUCCGAUUGACCUGUUAGUCGUCUGAUACAGGUGGGCCACAAUGUCUGAGUAAAGUUUAUCUGUGUUUUACCUUAGUUAAAACCAAACUAGACUGGUCCUGGGAGUUAAUUUGUCAUCAAGAGUGUUUAGCACAUGUGGUUAUCUGAUCAUAAACUGCAAAUGCGUAAUUCAACUAUCUUUCCAAGUCUACAAAUUUACCCGUCCCCAAAAGCAUUUCUAAGGGGGUUUCAAUAUUUUGCCUUCUAUUUCUCUCUGCUUGCUCCGAACAAUAAUCGGACCAAUAUGACCUCCAAAGC
rnacentral:lncRNA from 1 species